GGUUAAGUGACUAAGCGUACAUGGUGGAUGCCUUGGCAGUCAGAGGCGAUGAAGGACGUACUAACCUGCGAUAAGCCGUGAGCAGUCGGUAAGAGACAUUACGACUCACGGAUUUCCGAAUGGGGAAACCCACUUAGCAUAAGCUAGGUAUCGCUACGUGAAUACAUAGCGUAGCGAGGCGAACCGGGAGAACUGAAACAUCUAAGUACCCCGAGGAAAAGAAAUCAACCGAGAUUCCCUCAGUAGCGGCGAGCGAACGGGGAUUAGCCCUUAAGCAUCUUGGAAGUUAGUGGAACGGUCCUGGAAAGGCCGGCGAUACAGGGUGAUAGCCCCGUACACGAAAACAACCUUGAUGUGAAAUCGAGUAGGGCGGGACACGUGACAUCCUGUCUGAAUAUGGGGGGACCAUCCUCCAAGGCUAAAUACUCCUGACUGACCGAUAGUGAACCAGUACCGUGAGGGAAAGGCGAAAAGAACCCCUGUGAGGGGAGUGAAAUAGAACCUGAAACCGUGUACGUACAAGCAGUGGGAGCCCUUCGGGGUGACUGCGUACCUUUUGUAUAAUGGGUCAGCGACUUACAUUUUGUAGCGAGGUUAACCGUAUAGGGGAGCCGUAGGGAAACCGAGUCUUAACUGGGCGUCUAGUUGCAAGGUGUAGACCCGAAACCGGGUGAUCUAGCCAUGGGCAGGUUGAAGGUUGAGUAACAUCAACUGGAGGACCGAACCCACUAACGUUGCAAAGUUAGGGGAUGACCUGUGGCUGGGGGUGAAAGGCCAAUCAAACUCGGAGAUAGCUGGUUCUCCCCGAAAGCUAUUUAGGUAGCGCCUCGGACGAAUACUACUGGGGGUAGAGCACUGUUUGGGCUAGGGGGUCAUCCCGACUUACCAACCCCAUGCAAACUCCGAAUACCAGUAAGUAAUAUCCGGGAGACACACGGCGGGUGCUAACGUCCGUCGUGAAGAGGGAAACAACCCAGACCGCCGGCUAAGGUCCCAAAGUUCUGGUUAAGUGGGAAACGAUGUGGGAAGGCUCAGACAGCUAGGAUGUUGGCUUAGAAGCAGCCAUCAUUUAAAGAAAGCGUAAUAGCUCACUAGUCGAGUCGGCCUGCGCGGAAGAUGUAACGGGGCUCAAACCAGGCACCGAAGCCGCGGAUUCACGCUAAGCGUGAGUGGUAGGGGAGCGU
rnacentral:rRNA from 2 species